rnacentral:tRNA from 1 species
GGGGCUGUAGCUCAGUGGUGGAGCGCUUACCUCGCAUGUAUGAGGCACUGGGUUUGAUCCUUAGCACCA